rnacentral:rRNA from 1 species
GGGGAAUCUUGCGCAAUGGGCGAAAGCCUGACGCAGCAACGCCGCGUGCGGGAAGAAGGCCCUCGGGUUGUAAACCGCUUUCAGCAGGAACGAAAAUGACGGUACUUGCAGAAGAAGGUGCGGCCAACUACGUGCCAGCAGCCGCGGUGACACGUAGGCACCAAGCGUUGUCCGGAUUUAUUGGGCGUAAAGAGCUCGUAGGCGGUUCGGUAAGUCGGGUGUGAAAACUUUGGGCUUAACCCAAAGCCUGCAUCCGAUACUGCUGUGACUAGAGUUCGGUAGGGGAGCGGGGAAUUCCUAGUGUAGCGGUGAAAUGCGCAGAUAUUAGGAGGAACACCGGUGGCGAAGGCGCCGCUCUGGGCCGAUACUGACGCUGAGGAGCGAAAGCGUGGGUAGCAAAC